CCUUUCCCCCUGCACUGGUGUCCCCAACUUGCCUGGGAGCCGCAAUCCCAAAGAGCCCCGCUCAGCCCGGGGGGCAGCCGGGGCUGGAGGGGGUGGGGACACCCGUGUCCCCCCCAGCCCCACAAGGCCAACCCCAACCAAGCCUUUGCUCUCCUCCUGCAGCCCGUUCAGGCCGGCGGCGUCCAAUGUGGGGAGGCAGGCGGGAUCGGCGGCCCGCCAAUCUCGGGACAAGGAGGAGGUGGAUGUGUCGGGGGAGGCAUGGAUGUCCAUCGAGUGAAGAGGUCUGAG